rnacentral:rRNA from 1 species
UACGGAGGGUGCAAGCGUUGUCCGGAAUCACUGGGCGUAAAGGGCGCGUAGGCGGCUCAUGAAGGCUGUGAUGAAAGUCCGGGGCUCAACCUCGGAUCGGCCGUGGCGACUCGUGGGCUGGAGCACUGUAGAGGCGGGUGGAAUUCCGGGUGUAGCGGUGGAAUGCGUAGAGAUCCGGAAGAACACCAGUGGCGAAGGCGGCCCGCUGGGCAGUGGCUGACGCUGAGGCGCGACAGCGUGGGGAGCAAACAGG